rnacentral:misc_RNA from 1 species
AACAUAAGCAGCUCAAAUUACACAAUACUUUACGAUAAGGUAAGCAAUAGCUGCAGCAAUAGUACUUGGUCUCAUUGGCCUUUGAGGAUUGACAAAAAGCGGUCUCUUCCUGGUUGAAGAGUCCUUUUUUGCAAUCUCAUCUUGACUCUUCCGAAUUCCACUUUCACUCAUUUGCUGCUAAAGCUACUUAUUAUUAUGAUGCAAAUGCA